AGUGAACGCUGGCGGCAUGCCUAACACAUGCAAGUCGAACGGCAGCGCAGUAAUAGCUUGGGCUGAGGGGGGGGGAGUGGCGGGUGAGAGAGGAGAACAUCGGCAUCUGCUGUUUCGUGGGGGAUAACGUAGGGAAACUUACGACAAAACAGCAUACGAUGUACGGGGGAAAGCAGGGGAUCUUCGGAGCUUGCGGGGUUGGAUGAGCCGAUGGCGGAUUAGCUGGUUGGCGGGGUAACGGCCCACCAAGGCGACGAUCGGUAGCUGGUCUGAGAGGAGGAUCAGCCACACUGGAACUGAGACACGGCCCAGACUCCUACGGGAGGCAGCAGUGGGGAAUAUUGGACAAUGGGCGAAAGCCUGAUCCAGCAAUACCGCGUGUGUGAAGAAGGCCUUCGGGUUGUAAAGCCCUUUUGUCGGGAAAGAAAAGCAGUGGGCUAAUACCACGCUUUGAUGACGGUACCCGGAGAAUAAGCACCGGCUAACUACGUG
rnacentral:rRNA from 1 species